rnacentral:misc_RNA from 1 species
AAGUCGUAACAAGGUUUCCGUAGGUGAACCUGCGGAAGGAUCAUUAACACGUAUCCAAACGUAAAAACCCCCCCCCGUGAACAUUCAUUUAACCCGAUAUGCGUAAUAGCAUGCGGCAAGGCAUGAUUUUUUGUACUGGACUACCCCGAAGCAGGGCGCACUUUGCAGCUGACAUCGGCAUUGCUGUGGGAAGGGUAGUACGCUCAACGUUUGCUGGAGGCCACCACGGCCGGCAACCAGUGCAUAGAGCCCAGGGCCAAUGCGUUAUGAGUGGUGAAAACCCCAGUAACGUGAUACCCUGGAUACCACGCUCAAUAUUAACCCCUUCAACGAUCCUGUUGGCUUGGCCUAACGGCUUUGAGCCCUUUAAAACCCCAUUAUACGACUGUUAACAAUGGAUAUCUCGGAUCUC